CCUACGGGUGGCAGCAGUAGGGAAUAUUGCUCAAUGGGGGAAACCCUGAAGCAGCAACGCCGCGUGGAGGAUGAAGGUUUUCGGAUGGUAAACUCCUUUUGUUAGAGAAGAUAAUGACGGUAUCUAACGAAUAAGCACCGGCUAACUCCGUGCCAGCAGCCGCGGUCAUACGGAGGGUGCAAGCGUUACCCGGAUUAAAGGGGCGUAAAGAGCGCGUAGGCGGGAUAGCAAGUCAGAUGUGAAAUCCUAUGUCGAAAACAUAGAACUGCAUUUGAAACUGUUAGUCUAGAGUAUGGGAGAGGUAGGUGGAAUUCUUGGUGUAGGGGUAAAAUCCGUAGAGAGCAAGAGGAAUACUCAUGGCGAAGGCGACCUGCUAGAACAUAACUGACGCUGAUGCGCGAAAGCGUGGGGAGCAAACAGGAUUAGAUACCCUGGUAGUC
rnacentral:rRNA from 1 species